CUAUUUCUCGGAGUAUCCGGAACACUUGUGAAUGUAGUCGCUUUAUCUUUGACUAUCUUCAUAAGGUGGUUCUUCAAAGCAGGGACAACCAGUGCUUCCCCUCGGAAAAUAAUAUCAUUCAUUUUCUUCCAAAUCAAAUAACAAAGGCCACCGAAAGAGAACCGCGCAAUCCGAUGGUAGAAAUCCUUACCGGAGAGCAACCUGAUCGCCCAAGCAAGGUUGUCCAUCCACGGCCUCGAUUUCCAAGGUAAAUUGCAUCUCGUCGUCCAAAAAUAAGCAAGCGUGGCCGAGAUACGACAGUUGAAGAACAAGUGAUCAAUAGAGUCCGAAGUAGCAUUACAGUAUGCACAAGUACCCGAGACGAUUCUACCAGAAUGGAUUAGGAAUUCAUGGGUGGGUAAUCUGUUCUUGGUAAUCAACUACAAGUUAAAUUGAUUUCUAGGGACAAUAUCAGAGUUCCAAAUAAAGGAGUCCCAAGAAACUCUUUCCUUCUUUGUUCUAAUGAAAUCCCAUGCAGAGGCAACAGAAAAGGAUCAGGAUGAGUGCUGAUUCCAGGUGAAACAAUCCGGUGCAUUAGUCUGAUCCGGGACAGAGAAACCACAGCUCUCAAGUGAACUCUUAAAUGCAUGACCGAGGGGGGAGAAUAAAUCUGCAACAACAGCAUGCUUAAGGAGACCCGACAAUUCAAUGAUGGAUGUCGGAAACAAAAGAUCAAGGGGGCCAUUAGCGAGCCAUUGAUCAUGCCAUAAAGAAACCGAAAAUCCAUUACCAAUCUUCCAAGCGAAGCAAGACCUAAACUCUGUUCUUAAUUGCAAUAUUUUUUUUCCAGCCCCAAGAACACGUAGAAGGUGUU
rnacentral:lncRNA from 1 species